GUACACGCUGUGACUAGCAUAUCAAUAAGCGGAGGAAAAGAGGGCUAUUACCUACGCUUAGGAUGUUGACGAGACUGUCGAUCUCAUCUAUACAUGAGUCUGUGCAUAUCAAUAAGCGGAGGAAAAGAAACUAACAAGGAUUCCCCUAGUAACGGCGAGUGAAGCGGGAAGAGCUCAAAUUUGAAAUCUUAAAGGGUUUCCCUUUACGAAUUGUAGUUUAAAGAAGUGUUUUCUGUUGAGGUUUUGGUAAAAGUUCUUUGGAAUAGGACAUCAUAGAGGGUGAGAAUCCCGUAUUUGACCUUUACUUUCAACUUUGUGAUACACUUUCAAAGAGUCGGAUUGUUUGGGAAUGCAGUCCAAAAUGGGUGGUAAAUUUCAUCUAAAGCUAAAUAUCGGCGAGAGACCGAUAGCGAACAAGUACCGUGAGGGAAAGAUGAAAAGAACUUUGAAAAGAGAGUUAAACAGUACGUGAAAUUGUCAAAAGGGAAGCGUUUGACACCAGUGUUGUUUUUCUGAAAAUCAAUUAAAGAACUGCUUAUGCUAAGCUGUUUAGACUUUAUCAGCUAUCUGUUUAGUUUUGAGCUUUUCUUUAAUGCACUUUUCAGUUAACAAGUCAACAUCAAUUUCUUUUGCUGUAAAAAAGCUUGAGGAAGGUGGCUUGAGAUUCGUCUUAAGUGUUUAUAGCCUCUUGCCUAUGCAGUCGGAGAGAUUGAGGUCUGCAGCGUAGAUCCUUCGGGGCUAAAUGCAUUUGUGCUAAGUUAUAGCAUUUUAUAGACAACUUGUUGACUAUGAUUUGUCUUGUAGCUUACUCGCUUAUGUUAUUUUACCUACGCUUAGGAUGUUGAAGAUGUAGCACAUCAU
rnacentral:rRNA from 1 species